CCAGUCGGCCGGGCAGCCGCGCUUUACCAAUGCCGAAAGGCGGUAGGGUGAGGAAAGUCCGGGCUCCACGGAAACACGGUGCCGGAUAACGUCCGGCGAGGGCGACCUCAGGGAAAGUGCCACAGAAAGCAGACCGCCCCGUUUAUCGGGGUAAGGGUGAAAGGGUGGGGUAAGAGCCCACCGCGUCGCUGGUGACAGGGACGGCAUGGUAAACCCCACCGGGAGCAAGACCGAAUAGGGAUGACGCGGGUGCAACGCAAGUUGCGCUACAGCCGGUUUUCGGGCCAGUCAUCCGGGUGGGUUGCGAGAGGCGGUGCGCAAGUAUCGUCCCAGAUGAAUGGCUGCCACGUUCCGGGAAACCGGGGCCAUACAGAACCCGGCUUACAGGCCGACUGGUAUU
rfam:Agrobacterium vitis S4 chromosome 1, complete sequence.